rnacentral:rRNA from 1 species
AUUGAACGCUGGCGGCAGGCCUAACACAUGCAAGUCGAACGAGUGGCGGACGGGUGAGUAAUGUCUGGGAAACUUCCUUAUGGAGGGGGAUAACUACUGGACACGGUAGCUAAUACCGCAUACCAUCGGAUGUGCCCCGAGGGGAUUAGCUAGUUGGUGGGGUAACGGCUCACCAAGGCGACGAUCCCUAGCUGGUCUGAGAGGAUGACCAGCGACACGGGAACGGAGACACGGUCCAGACUCCUAAGGGAGGUAGCAGGUGGGAAUAUUGCACAAUGGGCGCAAGCCUGAUGCAGCCAUGCCGCGUGUAUGAAGAAGGCCUUCGGGUUGUAAAGUACGUUCAGCGGGGAGGCGUUACCCGCAGAAGAAGCACCGGCUAACUCCGUGCCAGCCGCCGCGGUAAUAC